UCUGUAAAAGCAGUGCGCAGCAGGAUUAAAAAAAAGAGGGAUGUUGCUUAGUUAAAUGCGCACGGCAGGAUGCAGAAACAGAGAAAAAAAAAAAAGUACGGCGGCUGGCUGUGUACAUGCAGCAGUCUGCGGUUCUCUCCAGCAGCACCGACAUCAAAAAGUGUCUGAAAGUGUGCCAUUCCUUUGAGGCAUAAUCUUAGUAGUAUUUACCUAUUGGUUUUUGGUAUGCCGCUGCCGCUCUACUGGUUCUGAUAAACGGUUGAGCCUACUCACCUUGUGCUCUCCAGCCGCUUUUCACUAUAGAGUAAGAUACCAAAGCUUCAGGAGAUCCAGGUACUCGUGAGGUGCAGGUUAAAAUGAAGAUUAAUACACGUUAGUUAACACUGGUGCUGCGUUGGUCCCCGGUUUCUGAAGUCCACUUAUUCUGUCUGAGGUCGUUUUAAAGCAAUUGGUCGAUGAGGAAAUUGGUGCCACAGGCUCUGAAUAUCCUAUUGGCUGUUUGCUUAACUAAUAAUAACCACCCUCCGUUUUGUUCCACCAUCAAAAAAGUCUUAUCAUAUAUGUAAUCCAAAGCCCAUUUCCCAACUGUUCAAAUCAACCUCUCGAUCAAUAUCACUUUUAAUCUUUUGGAACGGUGAAAGAAAUGUAAAUACAGGUCAGCUCAUCAUGAUGUCAUACAGCAAUGACGGUCUUCAGUCUGACAUGUGGCCAUCAAAGAAUUUGCAUUCAUAUGACUGUGCCCUUUAGCCCAAUUGGCAUGUCACUCUUUUCCAAACAAGUACAGACAAUGUGCAAUGCAAAUGCAAUUUUGUUGUUUUGCAAGCUUCAUUUAAUUUCAUAACAUGUCUAGUCUAGGUUGUAAACUGUGGCUAAAAUGUCCCUUCAGGGAAUUUUUCCAGCAGAAUACAGUAAAAA